CAGGAUAUAGUUUAUUUAGAAUGCUGGCUUUGGGGGCCAGAGGGGGAGGGUAGUCCUUCUGUCCUGA
rnacentral:tRNA from 1 species